AGGUCUGCAGCCUCCCCCUACUCGCUCCAGUGGGCAUCCUUUAUCCAUCCAGACCCUCAUACAGAUGGUUGGAGUUUUGAUUCACCUAAAGUACCAUGCAAGAGCACUCAUUUUCCCUCUUGAGACCAUGGUGUGACCUGCAAGGUCGAAUGGAGACUGUAAACGAGACAAUCUUGGAGUCACCUGCAUUCACUGGUCCAGUUGUUAGUCCAAUUACAGAUGGAGAUUAUAGAAGAGGAUGAUGUCUUUUCUCCAACAUCUUUCUAGACUGAUAAAAGAUCUAGACAGGCUCAAACAAAAGUUAACAGAGGGGCUUAUAUAGAGAAUGGUGAGCAGCUACACAUAAAAGAAGAACAUGGAGAAUCUGCCCAGAGGUGUUAACCAGCAAUGCAGCUAUACAACUAAAUUGAUGCAGGCGGAAACAAUGUGUGUAUGUUAUGUCCAAAUGUUGUUAUGUUCAAAUGUUUUACAAUGUACUUAAACAGGUGGACCUGUCAUUAUUGCAUUAGUCAAGUACAACUGAGUAGGUUAAGUUUACAUAUCAACGUCAAUAAAUAUAUAUAAAUAAAUAUCAGUCUUGACAGCAAACAUAAUAAUGUUAAAUAAAAUAAUAAUUACAGCUUUUUAAGAAAUUUACACGGGCUCAAACUAUCAGUGAAAUUAACUAUCAAAAACCUAAAAUAACCACAGACACGUGAAUAAAAUAUCUAACGUGAACUAGCUAGUUACUGUACAUACAUUGCUUAUUAUCAACGAAAUUUCUAGUUAACUGAUCCCACACCCAGCAUUAUUAAAAUGUAUUAUUACUACAUACCUUAAACAAAUGUUCCCUUAAAUCGCCAGACCAGGACAGGUUUCUUUCUUGCCCUUCUUCUUUUGCAUUGCGACGUCGAUAUAAGUGCAUGGUGUGGUGUAGCACGAAUUUAACGCAAAGACGCUCAUAUUAAUAAUAUACACGAUAUUGACGAUUAAUACGGAUGAUUUUAUCUUUCUUUGACAUUCUAAUCAGAGUUAUAUUGAGGAAACAAAGAAAACAUAUGACAGUUUGAAAAAUUAAUUUUUCCUUAUUUUUGUAAUGGUUUCUUUUAGAAUGCAGCUGCUACAGAUGAAGAAUCUGUCCGUCUACCACCGAAGGAGACGCGGAAAAUCGGGAAAAGAUGUUCUUGGCCCGAGGAUGCAUUUGAUUAAUUUAAAGAUAUUGUGUUUCUUUGUAUGUUAUAGAAAAACGUUGCUUUUUUGCAUACACUCGUGUAAAUAUGCAUCUUAUGAAUGUUUUCCUUUGUCUAAUUUUAAUAAAUUUUACGCAAUCAACUGCCUGUUUUAUUGA